CUGUAAUGAGAAAGAUAAAAGAACGUUAAAAAAAAAGAAAAAAGAAAAAGAAUACAAACGCAUGGUAUAUGAAAUUGUGAUUAUAAGUGUUUGGAUAUAUGUAAUAUAAAAUAAUGGAAUAUGCAGUACAAGUAAAAAACUUACUGAUCCACGUAAUUUCUUCAAUAGUUGUGGGAAUUUCAGAAUUCUUGCCUUGUAAUUCUGGUAUCAGAAUUGUCGAGAAGCCCAAAGUCGAACCAAACGUGAUCAGGACUAGAUUUUUUGCGCCCACAGCACAGCACUGUGAUUAAAAUAUUUAAUUAUUACUGGGAACAUUACAUAUAUAUUAACUAUAAAAUACUUUGGUCAAACGUGUCAAUUUUGUCUUUGACUGUAUAUCACUCUUAUGAUCGAAUAAACGAGAGUAAAUGGUCAUUAGACAUAUAACAUCAACUGAUUCAACUUACUUCUAGAAUGACUUGUGAACACUAUUCUUAAGUAUAAUCGGAAGUAAUAAAGACAUUUCGAAAUCUCUAUUGAAA